rnacentral:lncRNA from 1 species
GCCAUGUAAAUAUAACAGACAUUUCUUUUAUGGCCAAGGGCCACAUCUGCGUGUGUAGCAUCAACGUCCAAUCUUCAACUAUGGAAAAUGAUCAAAAUGCCUACUAAAGGAAUAGAAUUUCAUCUCCAGAAACGAACAUAGGAGCAUCAUCUACGCAGCCACAAUAUUUCCAUUUCCUUCAAACAUAAACGGAGGGAGAAGAGUGAUAGCCAUUGUGGUAACCUGCAACGAAACAUAAUGUAUACUGAUGAGGCAAAAAGGUGGCAUAUAUAUAUAUAUAUAUAUGAUAAGCAGGAAGAUCUAACACAUGGAAAACGAAGCUCUGAUUAGUAUAUGGAAAAUUUGGUGAACAAAAAUUAGAAGUAGGAAUCAAGUAUACCAGUGUAGCAGACAAAUAUUUAGUAUGUUCCAAUGUAGGAACAAAUCUGCGGGCAAAGUUUGUAGUCCAAAGUAUUCCAUGGAGAUCUAAAUUAUCAAACUACAAAUUUGUUGCUAAUUCGAAGUAGAGGUACUACAGAAAGCACUGUACCUCUGGCAGAUGAUAGAAUCUCGAACAUAUAUCAUAGGUCGUAUUUUGGAUUGUAGUGGAGUUUUUUGGCUCCUUUGUAUCCUGACAGUGGAAUCAAAAUCUCUUUGUAGCUAAGUGGAGGUCCAUCUGAACAAAAGGACAGAGGUUGUGCACUGCAUCCGUUAUAGACAGAAAUAACACAAUAGUUGCUUGAGGAAUAUAUGCAUCAACAGCAAAACAGAGGCUGCGAUAAUGGACUAAGGGGGGAAAGAAGGCGUGAAUAUAUACACAAGAAAAUUUUAUUAUUUGGAUGGUCACUGAUGAUGAUUCCUCAAAUUCUUCAUAAAGAGGAUCUAGACAGUCUCUGGUUAGUCGAGACCCUCCAUUUCCUAAUUUCCUCUCUUCUUUUCCGCUCAAUUCUAGUUUAUUAGAUUCUUGUUUAAAAGAAUCAAAGAAGCUGAAUAGAACUAAGAAUACAUUAAAAAGAGCCUUUUUCUUCAUUUUGCAUUUCUUAUUAUUUUUGUAUGGAUAUGCAGGGGCUACACAAUUUCUCAAUUUCUUAGCGAUUCAUACCAUGAGGUGAAAUGCACAAAAUUUUGAUAAAGCUUACCUUUCCAAAACAAUACAUGGAAGAAGAUACAAGAGUUGUCCUAUGGUAAUAAGAAGCAGCCUACAACCCCAAAAAUAUUCAUCCAGCAUAUUUCUACAUCUAUAAAACCACACAACGCAAGUAACUUUGCAACUGAAACACAGGUUAGGAAACAAAAGUUGCUGAUCACAUCUCAUAGCGGUAUUCCAUCGACCUCAAUCCUAAAAACAUAAAAACCUAACACAACAUAUAUAUGCUGCCUCCAAGAAGAAAAUGCAUAGCAAUUGGAAACAGCAGGACCUCCAUAUCCAUCUGCACCUAUGUGGCUUCUGUAUAGGGGAAUGCUAUGCUUUUGAACAACAUGUACGGAAAGGUAGUCACACAACAUCGAGCUCAAUCCUAAAAACAUAAAAAAUCUAACACAACAUAUAUAUGCUGCCUCCAAGAAGAAAAUGCAUAGCAGUUGGAAACAACACGACCUCCAUAUCAGUCCCUAGACAAAAUGCGGUCAGGGCAAUUGUAAACUCUUACAAAAUUGAUGUAGUCUGCUUACAAGAAACAAAAAAGCCUGUAAUUCCACGGCAGAUUGUGCUUUCUAUGCUUGGUAGUGAUUUUGAUAACAACUAUAUAUUUCUCCCUUCGGUGGGGGCCAGUGGGGGAAUUCUAAUUGCCUGGAGAGGUUGCCUGGGUACAGUAAGUGCAAAAAGAGUGGAUACAUUCUCCGCAUCUGUUCAGUUCAUCUUUGAUAAUAGAGGUUCCUGGUGGUUGACAUGUGUAUAUGGGCCACAAGAUGAUCAAACAAAAGUCCAAUUCUUGCAAGAGCUGCGUGAAGUGCGCGCUUAGUGUACAGGACCAUGGAUGGUGGCAAGAGAUUUUAAUCUCAUAUAUAAAGAUGAGGACAAAAACAACAACAAUUUGAAUAGAGCUAUGAUGGGAAGACUCAGAAGAUGGAUUGAGGAGAUGGCAGUUAAUGAAAUCCCCCUGCAUGGUCGUAAAUUUACAUGGUCUAGCUCCUCAUCUAAUGCUUCUCCUACUCUGAUGCGACUAGAUAGAGUGUUCUGCUCUCUAGACUGGGAGGAAAUGUUCCCUGAUUGUCUCCUUCAGAGCUCAUCUUCCGAUGACUCCGACCACUGCCCGCUUAUCCUUGGAUUGAGGGAUACACUACCAGGCAAAAGACGCUUCCAUUUUGAAGCUUUCUGGCCUAGGCUAGAGGGAUUCCAGGAAACCAUUCAAGAGGUGUGGUCUUCGGUUCAACCACGUCGUUGUCCUUUGGAGACUUUAUCCCUGAAAUUUAAAGCAGCAGCAAAAGGCUUACAAAGUUGGAGUCAAAAGAAUGUUGGCCACAUCAGUUCCCAAUUGCAUCUAGCGAAAGAAAUUAUUCACCAGCUAGAUAUAGCCCAAGACAGUCGUGCUCUCCAACCAAAUGAGUUGUGGCUGCGCAACAACCUAAAGAAGCACACCCUUGCUCUAGCUUCACUAAUGAGAACAAUAGCCAGGUCAAGAUCCCGAAUAGGAUGGCUUAAAGAAGGGGAUGCCAACACCAGACUGUUCCAUAUGCAUGCACGGCACAAAAAAAAGAAGAAUUUCAUUGCUAAAUUGAGGGCAGGAGAUCGCAUUAUCGCUGCACACGAUGAAAAGGCAGCUGAAAUCUAGUUCUAUUCAAAUUUGAUUGGUACAGUCUGUGACAGAGAAAGAAAUAUAAAUCUUGAUGCACUCAAUAUGCCAGGAUAUGAUCUACAGGAGCUGGAUAGGCCUUUUACAGAAGAGGAGGUCUGGAACACUAUCAAAGACUUGCCUUCAGAUAAGGCCCCUGGCCCUGACGGGUUCACAGAAAAAUUCUACAAAACCUGCUGGUCAGUGAUCAAAGAAGAUAUAAUGGCUGCCCUGCACAACAUUUGGGGAAAUUUCAGGAACCUGUCGAUGCUGAAGUCUGCAUAUAUCAUUUUGAUCCCGAAGAACACGGAGGCUGACCAGGUAAAGGAUUUUAGACCAAUUAGUCUGGUACACAGUUUUGCUAAACUAGUGACCAAAAUCCUGGCCAACCGCUUGGCUGGUCGUCUUGAUGAAAUGGUUUCCCCCAAUCAGACUGCCUUCAUCAAAAGGCGGUUUAUUCAGGACAAUUUCAUGUUGGUGCAAUAGACUGUAAAGUAUCUACACUCCCAAAAACAGCCAACAAUCCUCCUGAAAUUGGAUAUCACAAAGGCUUUUGAUUCGAUAAAUUGGUCAUUUUUUUUGGAAGUACUUAGGAAGCUCGGUUUUGGUGCGCGAUGGUGUGACCUUCUUUGCGGGUUGCUUUCAACCUCCUCCACCCAAGUUCUCCUUAAUGGCAGUCCCGGGGAAACUAUUCAACAUAGGAGAGGACUCCGCCAGGGCGAUCCUCUUUCUCCAAUGCUUUUCAUCUUGGUGAUGGAUGUGCUGAACUGGAUGGUCACAAAGGCCAAUGAGGAAGGAAUUUUGCAACCUUUGGCUAGAAGGCCGGUUCAACACAGAAUUUCAUUAUAUGCUGAUGAUGUAGCUCUCUUCCUCCAGCCCGCAGCAGCGGAUAUCACCCUUACCUUGAGAAUGCUUCAGCUAUUUGGGGAGGCUUUGGGACUAAAAACAAAUGUGCACAAAAGUAAUGUAAUGCCAAUCCAGUGUUCCGAAGAAAACAUGGGGACUAUCCAAAGUCUUCUACCUUGUGGUAUUCAGGAAUUCCCGUGCAAGUAUCUUGGGCUGCCCCUCUCCAUCAAGAAGCUGACCAAAAACCAAGUCCAACCAAUUGUUGAUAAAAUAGCAGACCAACUGCCAAGAUGGAGAGCAGACCUAAUGACAAAGGCAGGAAGGGUGGUGCAGGUCCAACAUGUCCUAACUGCAAUGUUAGUUUAUUUAGCCAUGGCAACUGAGCUACCAUCAUGGGCUUUUAAGGCAAUUGAUAAAAUUAGAAGAGCAUUUCUAUGGAGAGGUAGAAAGGAAGCAAAUGGCGGACAUUGCCUCAUCGCUUGGCCCAAAGUUUGUCGCUCUAAAGAACUUGGGGGGCUGGGAAUUGCGGACUUGAAAUCUCUGAGUUUAGCACUCAGAGCUAGAUGGCCAUGGCUGAAAAAAGCUGAACCAAAUAAACCUUGGGCAAGUCUACCACUUCAAGUUGGCAAAGAGGUGGAGGGUCUCCUCUCUAUGGCAGUGAUUACUGAGGUAGGAGAUGGAGCCAACACACUGUUCUGGAACGAUAGAUGGCUCGGUGGAAAUAAUAUCGAGGAACUAGCACCAAAAAUCUUUCGUUUGGUCCCUAAAAGAAGAACAGGCAGGCGUACGGUGUUGGAGGCCAUGACUGAUGACAAAUGGAUUGAUGAUAUUGGAGUCGGAAUACCCGUAGAAGCACUGAUGGAAUACCUGGAAUUAUGGGAUAAAUUAUCUAAUGUUCAGCUUCAUGAAGGGGAACAGGACAAACACAUUUGGAGGUUUUCAGCUUCAGGUAAAUACACGUCUAAGUCUGCAUAUGAUGCACUCUUCCAGGGCGCCAUACAGUUCAGAUCAUAUGAGAGAAUAUGGAAGUCAUGGGCUCCUCCAAAAUGCCGUUUUUUCAUGUGGCUUGUUGCUCAUAACCGAUGCUGGACAGCUGAUAGGCUUGCUCGACGAGGUCUUCCCCACCCAACCAAAUGUCUGCUCUGUGACCAAGAAGAGGAAAGCAUUCAACACCUCCUAAUUGGAUGUGUUUUUGCUAGGCAAUUAUGAUUCUCUCUAUUGCAGGAUGUCGGACUCCCUUCACUCACGCCUCAGCCUGGGGAUUCAGCCUGGGAGGACUGGUGGGAGAAAGCGGAGGCUGCCACCGCUGGGGAUGUGAGAAAAGGAUUAAACUCUAUCAUCAUUCUUGGCGCCUGGAGCAUCUAGAAGCAUCGGAACGACUGUACCUUCAAUGGGGCUGUACCAAACAUUAACACAACCCUUAGUACUGCUAAAGAUUAUGCCCAUUGGUGGUGUUUGGCAGGAGCGAAGGGUCUAUCCUUGCUCACUGCUAGGGGGUCUUAAUUUGUUAGCACACUUGGUCGAUGUAACCUCAGCUUUAGGUGAUGUUGCAAUAGAAAUCAGGGACGGGGUGGUGGUGUGUGUGUGUGAGAGAGAGAGAGAGAGUUGGGUCUAUCUAUGACUCUUUUUUCUUCUACUAAUAUAAUGAUACGUAGCUCUCCUGCGUGUUCGAGAAAAAAUAUCCAUCUGCACCUAUGUGGCUUCUGUACAGGGGAUGCUAUGCUUUUGAACAACAUGUACGGAAAGGUAGUCACACAAAAAAUAUAAUACAAAUUUACGAAUCAAACUAAAGGUCCAUCAAACCGAUCUACAUAUGUAUGCCAUGAAGGAAGCACAAAUAAAGUUUUAUGGUAUAGGUAGGUAACUGGUGCCCAUAUGUUGGUAAAUCCAAGAAAGCGAAGCAGAUGAUAAAAGUAGGCAAGAGCGAUAGCGUAAGUCCGCACAUAUAAAAAAGAGCAGCAAAAAAGAAUAAACUUGUUUGAGCAACACAGCUAGGUUCUAAAAGGAAAAUUGAGAUAUGGAGGUACUAUCAUAAAAUAAAGGCAGCAGAAUAUAGGUUCAUGUAGAUAAAUUGAAAAGGCACAAUAAGGAAUCUAUGUAGACUAAGAUAUUCGUGGCUUGUAGGCACAACCAUAAAGCAUAGGAACACUAUAUAUAAGGGUCAUUAUGAAUUAAGAGGCACCAUAGAACCAAGCCGUAAUAAUAGAGUGUCUACACAACUGGUUAAUAGAUAUAGGUUGUACUCAAUGUAAAAACCAUUAUCAAGAAAACACAUCCCAAAAAUAGCUUCAGGAUAGGCUUAUCGCUCGCUUCAUCAUGAACGUCCCAUAGGAACUUAUAUCAACACCAUGACCAAAUUAGCACCUCUCACACCAUGAGAAGGCAUGGAUACACAAGAUGCAAUAGGAAUAAGACUCAAACAUUUUUUUCCUAAGAUCAAGGUAGCAACCACUUAGGGAUUACCAGAUUCCAUAAACUUCAUAGGUGAUGAGUUCAUACUUUGAAGUUGCAUGAUGCAUUGCUCACAAUAUUUUAGAAGUUGCAACGCGUGAAUCCAUAAUAAAAUUUAUUGCUUUGUGUUUUUAGAUAUAUGAAAACUUGUUUAUUGUAAAUAAUAAUUAGGGGCAAAAUGAAGGAGAAAAUGAAGCUUGGAAAUUUUGAUUACCUCUGAAAAGUAAACUUCUGAAAUGGAGUUGGAUUACUUGGCAAUUUUGUUGACAGCGAGGGGCAAUGGAUCUAUCUAUUUUGGUUGCACUGGUGUCAUCACACAAAACCUAAUCAAAAGAAAUAACCAUCUAAUAAACCCAGCCAAAAGAAAUAGGUUUCAUGGUAAAGCAAAGCAUACGCAAGAUUAAUCAUAGCGACUAUUUAGAAGUUCAUAAUUUCAAGUUGCUCUGUGUACUAUUUAAAAAAUUUAGAAGUUGCAAUAAUUGAUACAUAGUAAAAUAUACUGCCCUAUAGUUUUGAUCUAUGAUGAAUUUUGUAGUAAGCAAUAAUUAGGGAUAAAUGAAGAAGAAAAGGAAACUUGUAGAAUGUGAUUACCUUUGGUUAAGAAAGUUCCCAAAAUUGAAUUGAAUUUUUUUGUGAUGUUGAUGACAUAGAUAGAGAUCUAUUCAUUUUGGUCGCGCUAGCAACAUCUCACAAAACCUAACCAGAAGAAAUAGUCAUGUCAUGAACCAGUCAAAAGAGGAAAUAGCUAGGGUUUCAUAGAGGAGUGGAACACAUGCUUACCGUCGGGAGAAGGAUGGGGGAGAUGCAUCGACCGUGGGGUCCGCCGACUUUAGAGCGCCGCCCGCAGGAGGCGCUGCCUCGGUUGGCAGCUACUGCCGCACCGAGAGGGAAGGGGAGAGAGAUAGGAAGGGAGGAAGGUGAGAGAUAGGCGAGGGAGAGAGAUAGAAGAGGAGGAGGAGACAGAGAGGAGGAGCGCCGCCGUGCCGUGGUCGCGCCGGCGCCCGUUUUCCGCGUCGGGAGGAAGAGUUCGGGAGAGAGAAUGGGGCGUCGGUGGAAAGCGAGGGAGUGGAAGGGAGUCGAUAAAAUAUCUUCUUGGUACUGUAGAAAUUGGUGGAGUAAACCUGGACGGUUGAUUCCUGGAUUGGACGGAUAGAGAAAUUUUGG